AGUGAACGCUGGCGGUAGGCCUAACACAUGCAAGUCGAACGGCAGCACAGUAAGAGCUUGCUCUUACGGGUGGCGAGUGGCGGACGGGUGAGGAAUACAUCGGAAUCUACUUUUUCGUGGGGGAUAACGUAGGGAAACUUACGCUAAUACCGCAUACGACCUACGGGUGAAAGCAGGGGAUCUUCGGACCUUGCGCGAUUGAAUGAGCCGAUGUCGGAUUAGCUAGUUGGCGGGGUAAAGGCCCACCAAGGCGACGAUCCGUAGCUGGUCUGAGAGGAUGAUCAGCCACACUGUAACUGAGACACGGUCCAGACUCCUACGGGAGGCAGCAGUGGGGAAUAUUGUACAAUGGGCGCAAGCCUGAUCCAGCCAUACCGCGUGGGUGAAGAAGGCCUUCGGGUUGUAAAGCCCUUUUGUUGGGAAAGAAAAGCAGCAGGUUAAUACCCCGCUGUUCUGACGGUACCCAAAGAAUAAGCACCGGCUAACUUCGUG
rnacentral:rRNA from 1 species